GAGACAAUGUGCACAAUGGUGUUGAUGAACUGGACCUCGAGAGGCAGCAGACUGGCACACAGGCUGUGUUCAUAGUCAGGGAGCAAUUCCGAAGACGUGGUAAUACAGCACAGUAACUCUUUACCCUUUUUCAAGGCCAAUUUUGUGAUAUGGGAAAAAGAUUGGAAACGGAGUCCUGAAAACACUGAAACCAUCUGUCAGGGACAAAGUUAAGAAGA
rnacentral:lncRNA from 1 species